rnacentral:rRNA from 1 species
CCUACGGGGGGCUGCAGUGGGGAAUAUUGGACAAUGGGGGCAACCCUGAUCCAGCCAUGCCGCGUGUGUGAAGAAGGCCCUCGGGUUGUAAAGCACUUUCAGUGAGGAAGAACGCCUGGUGGUUAAUACCCAUCAGGAAAGACAUCACUCACAGAAGAAGCACCGGCUAACUCCGUGCCAGCAGCCGCGGUAAUACGGAGGGUGCGAGCGUUAAUCGGAAUUACUGGGCGUAAAGCGCGCGUAGGUGGCUUGAUAAGCCGGUUGUGAAAGCCCCGGGCUCAACCUGGGAACGGCAUCCGGAACUGUCAAGCUAGAGUGCAGGAGAGGAAGGUAGAAUUCCCGGUGUAGCGGUGAAAUGCGUAGAGAUAGGGAGGAAUACCAGUGGCGAAGGCGGCCUUCUGGACUGACACUGACACUGAGGUGCGAAAGCGUGGGUAGCAAACAGGAUUAGAUACCCUAGUAGUC